rnacentral:rRNA from 1 species
UACGAAGGGGGCUAGCGUUGUUCGGAAUCACUGGGCGUAAAGGGCGCGUAGGCGGCCGAUCAAGUCGGGGGUGAAAGCCUGUGGCUCAACCACAGAAUUGCCUUCGAUACUGUUUGGCUUGAGACCGGAAGAGGUUAGUGGAACUGCGAGUGUAGAGGUGAAAUUCGUAGAUAUUCGCAAGAACACCAGUGGCGAAGGCGGCUGACUGGUCCGGUUCUGACGCUCAGGCACGAAAGCGUGGGGGAGCAAAAAGGGG